rnacentral:lncRNA from 1 species
GGGAAUUACUCUUGACCCUGGCCAUACAUUUUCCCACUUAUUUGUAACAAUGCAACGGUGAGACGGACACUAUUAGCUCCAUUUCACAGACAAGGCUGUAGAGACUCAAAGGGGUGUCUGGGCUCACCCAGGGUCAUACAGCUGGCCCAUGGGAUGUCGUCAGGAAGAGCUGGGGGUGGAUGCCACAGAGUCCCCUAGAACCAAGUGGGCUUGUCUUUCCUCCAGGACCUAAACAGUGGUUGGAGGAGGCACUAAGGCUGGAGAGGUGGCACUUUGCACCCAAGACCACCCAACACUCGGGAUCAGCUGGGAGAUGACGACUGGCCCAGGGAAGGAGGGGAGGCCGCAGGAAGGACAAGACACCAGGGCCGUCAGGGAGGAAGACGCUGGAGACAAGUGUUCAGAGGUGGGUCUGGUUCCUCCUGCCCAAUACCCUGUCAACCUGCAGGUGUCCUUGACCCACCUCCUGCCCCAGACCCCUGCCCAGCCUUCCUCCAGGGGUCUGGCUCUUCAACAGAAGAACUAAAACAGCUCACGGUGGCCUGUUUGGUAAACUGAAAGUCAGAGGUAAGAGCACAGACAUGUGGAGUCACAGAUGCCCACCUCCCCCACCCUUAAGGACAGGAAGCCACAACACAGGCUCUUUGCUACUCCAUGAAACCACAGGUUUGAGGUUUUCUGUGUUCGUGGAUACCUUGAGAUCUUUCAGAAGUAAGGGAGAGGAAACACCCACCUGCUUAGAUGUACCCUCUCCAGUACAUCUAACAAGACACUGAUGACAGGGAAAAUUCACAAACACCAGGACAUCCUAAGCCCUUCCAGAAAGUUGAGUUGCCCCCAUUUCUGGGCCCCACCCCCAGCAGAGAAAGAGCAAAUCUGAGGACACCCUAGGGAAGGCCCUCAGCCUCAGGUAGAAACUGACCUGAAGGCAUCUGCUGAGAGGCUGGGGAAGAAGGUCACUUGGAGGCCUGGAUGGGGGUGCUCCAUUCAUCAGCACACCCAGUGAGGGAGGGGUCUGGGUGGGAGUCGGGAAGCAGCGGCAGAAUGUUUCUUCAUUCCCACUGCUGUGUGUGAGGCCCAGGCAGGCCCUCCCGGAGCUUACUCUCCAGAGUGCAGAGGAAGUCAAGACUGGCUCAGCCACCAAGCGCAGGAGCAUUUCUGGCCAGAACCCAUGGCCCCAUUCCUAAGCACUGCACAGAUGCCCACACGGGGGAUGGCUCCAGCUGGGAAUGUACACCCAAGUGCAGCUUUGCCAAAGCCAAACUCACAUCUGUCAACAUCAGUGCAGCACCCACCUACUGGCCUCUUCUGCACAGGGCCCGCCCUUUCUUCAACCCUCAGAAGAACCUGAGACGAGGACCAAACUUUUCCCAUCUUGUC